rnacentral:rRNA from 1 species
CAGAGGGUGCGAGCGUUAAUCGGAAUUACUGGGCGUAAAGCGCACGUAGGCGGCUUAGCAAGUCGGGUGUGAAAUCCCCGGGCUCAACCUGGGAACUGCAUUCGAGACUGCUUUGCUUGAGUAUGGGAGAGGGAGGCGGAAUUUCCGGUGUAGCGGUGAAAUGCGUAGAUAUCGGAAGGAACAUCAGUGGCGAAAGCGGCCUCCUGGACCAAUACUGACGCUCAUGUGCGAAAGCGUGGGGAGCAAACAGGAUUAGAUACCCUGGUAGUCCACGCCAUAAACGAUGAGAACUAGAUGUCGGGAGGGUUAGCCUCUCGGUGUCGCAGCUAACGCGUUAAGUUCUCCGCCUGGGGAGUACGGCCACAAGGUUG